GUAGGGAAUAUUGGACAAUGGCUGAAAAGCUGAUCCAGCCAUCCCGCGUGAAGGCAGAAGGUCCUAUGGAUUGUAAACUUCUUUUCUCUGGGAAGAAAACCCCUUGUUCUCAAGGGACUGACGGUACCAGAGGAAUAAGCACCGGCUAACUCCGUGCCAGCAGCCGCGGUAAUACGGAGGGUGCAAGCGUUAUCCGGAUUCACUGGGUUUAAAGGGUGCGUAGGCGGGCUUGUAAGUCAGUGGUGAAAGCCCGGGGCUUAACUCCGGAAUUGCCGUUGAUACUGCAGGUCUCGAGUACAGUUGAGGUGGGCGGAAUACAUCAUGUAGUGGUGAAAUACUUAGAUAUGAUGUAGAACACCGAUUGCGAAGGCAGCUCACUAAAGUGUAACUGACGCUGAGGCACGAAAGCGUGGGGAUCAAACAGGAUUAGAUACCCUUGUAGUCC
rnacentral:rRNA from 1 species